rnacentral:rRNA from 1 species
UUUUGUCCAAGUUUAAGGUGGUAGGCUGGAAUCUUAGGUAAAUCCGGGAUUCUAAGGCCGAGAGCUGAUGACGAGUGUACUUUUAGUACACGAAGUGGUUGAUGCCAUGCUUCCAAGAAAAGCUUCUAAGCUUCCGGUAACCAGGAACCGUACCCCAAACCGACACAGGUGGUUGGGUAGAGAAUACCAAGGCGCUUGAGAGAACUCGGGUGAAGGAACUAGGCAAAAUGGCACCGUAACUUCGGGAGAAGGUGCGCCGGUGAGGGUGAAGCAUUUACUGCGUAAGCCCAUGCCGGUCGAAGAUACCAGGCCGCUGCGACUGUUUAUUAAAAACACAGCACUCUGCAAACACGAAAGUGGACGUAUAGGGUGUGACGCCUGCCCGGUGCCGGAAGGUUAAUUGAUGGGGUUAGCUAACGCGAAGCUCUUGAUCGAAGCCCCGGUAAACGGCGGCCGUAACUAUAACGGUCCUAAGGUAGCGAAAUUCCUUGUCGGGUAAGUUCCGACCUGCACGAAUGGCGUAACGAUGGCGGCGCUGUCUCCACCCGAGACUCAGUGAAAUUGAAAUCGCUGUGAAGAUGCAGUGUAUCCGCGGCUAGACGGAAAGACCCCGUGAACCUUUACUAUAGCUUUGCACUGGACUUUGAAUUUGCUUGUGUAGGAUAGGUGGGAGGCUUUGAAGCGUGGACGCCAGUUCGCGUGGAGCCAACCUUGAAAUACCACCCUGGCAACUUUGAGGUUCUAACUCAGGUCCGUUAUCCGGAUCGAGGACAGUGUAUGGUGGGUAGUUUGACUGGGGCGGUCUCCUCCUAAAGAGUAACGGAGGAGUACGAAGGUGCGCUCAGACCGGUCGGAAAUCGGUCGUAGAGUAUAAAGGCAAAAGCGCGCUUGACUGCGAGACAGACACGUCGAGCAGGUACGAAAGUAGGUCUUAGUGAUCCGGUGGUUCUGUAUGGAAGGGCCAUCGCUCAACGGAUAAAAGGUACUCCGGGGAUAACAGGCUGAUACCGCCCAAGAGUUCAUAUCGACGGCGGUGUUUGGCACCUCGAUGUCGGCUCAUCACAUCCUGGGGCUGAAGCCGGUCCCGAGGGUAUGGCUGUUCGCCAUUUAAAGUGGUACGCGAGCUGGGUUUAGAACGUCGUGAGACAGUUCGGUCCCUAUCUGCCGUGGACGUUUGAGAUUUGAGAGGGGCUGCUCCUAGUACGAGAGGACCGGAGUGGACGAACCUCUGGUGUUCCGGUUGUCACGCCAGUGGCAUUGCCGGGUAGCUAUGUUCGGAAUAGAUAACCGCUGAAUGCAUCUAAGCGGGAAACUAGCCUCAAGAUGAGAUCUCACUGGGACCUUGAGUCCCCUGAAGGGCCGUCGAAGACUACGACGUUGAUAGGUUGGGUGUGUAAGCGCUGUGAGGCGUUGAGCUAACCAAUACUAAUUGCCCGUGAGGCUUGACCU